UGGCACCAUCGGCUAAAAAAGGUCAUGUGGCAGGAAGCAUGUCGGUAUGUGACAGUUUCCUGGGCCAUGUAUUGUAACUGCCACGUUAUGCUUCUAUAGUUGCAACCCUAGGAACCGUGGGAAACACCAGCUGCAAGCCUUGGGGACGCUUCAAGAGGUAAUUAAUGCCCAGGAAAAAAAAAAAAAAACAAAAAAACCUUAGCCGGAAAAGUUUUCCUUUAUUUAGGUCCCAUGUUGCCCAACAGCAGCAGGCUUAGACAGGAGUGUUACAGGCUACUGCUUAGUAGGACUCUGGGACCUUUCAGCUAUAAAAGGUUAUCAAUGUAUGGGGUUUGUCAAGCAUAGCCAGUCGGUUACAGGAGUCAACUUUCGGUUGUCAUUGAAGUUCCUAUAAGCCUCUUGCUUUGUACUGAGCAAGCAAACAACUUCUAAUCCCUCAGCCGUGUAGUUCCAAGUGCACCACAGAGCGCUGAGCCAUGCAAGCCUUGGCCCCGUGUUCCGUGUGGUUGGGUGCAGGUUAACCAGGCCUUCUGUUCUCUGCAGGAAUUCCCGCCUUGUGUGCACACCAAGCUCGGAACUGGCAGGUUCCGUCCUGACCUCCCUGUUUGGAUAUCGCUUCUCUGUGAAAGCUUGCUGUCAGACCCGCCCCACAGAUGAGCUAUCCGGGCUAUUCUUUUCUUUUUAAAGCAGGAAUACAUGAUUUUCUGUUUGGAGAGACUUCACGACACAUUUUUUUUUUGGUUCUUUUUUUUUUUUUUUGGUUCUUUUUUUCGGAGCUGGGGACCGAACCCAGGGCCUUGCGCUUCCUAGGCAAGCGCUCUACCACUGAGCUAAAUCCCCAGCCCCUACGACACAUUUGAGAAUCCAGUAUCUAAGUCUUUGAUUUCAGGGAAAGAGCGUUGGAAGGAAAGACUUCCACACUGCAGCCCACAGCAAGUCGGGCCACCACCAUGUGGGGAACUCUGUUAAAGAGUUGCAGUAUUAGGGAGGUUGAGGACCAGUGCUCUAUGCCAAGGGUAACUUUUUGUCUUUCUACUGAAGAAACUGGGGCAAGGAAGGUUUUAUUCAUUUGUUCAUUUCUGUGUUUGUUUGUUUGUUUGUUUGUAGUGUGUAGUGGGCUGGAGAGAUGGCUCAGCAGUUAAAAGCAUUUGCUGCUCUUGCAGAGGAUCCCAGCGCCCAUGUCUAGAAGUCUACGACUGCCUGUAACUCCAGCUCCUGAGGGUCCCGUGCUCCAUGGACACCAGCCCUCACGGACACACAUUCACACAGUUGAGGCUCCGUCUGUCGCUAUGCGCUGUAAUGCUCAAUACUGGCCCUCGAGGCCUGGUUGCUCCCAGGAAGGAGAAAAUCUGCCCUUACACAAGUGAUGCUGUGUAACCUCACCCCUCCCCCCAAGUUAUCCCUGAUUGGUGAAUAAAGAUGCCGACAGCCAUUAGCUGGGCAGAGGAGAGACAGGCAAGGUUUGGGUUCCUGGGCUUGAGAUCAGAGGAGAAGCCAUGAGGAGAGAGAGAGAGAAGGUGGAGAGAGGAAAAGAUGCCACAGGGUGGGUGAGUCAUAAAACCAGGGCCAUGAGGGCUGGCCAAUUGGAGUUAAGAGCUGACCAGAUGAAACGUGACAAGUUAUAACUUGGAGUUGUUGAUGGGGACGUAGAUUCUAAUAUCACGGAGGGUAGACAUCUGCCAGCUCUAGUGCAUUAUAGGCUUACUAUAAAUAUAAAGAUUGUGUGGUUUUUAAUCAGCGAGCUGAAUGAUCAAAGAUAGAGUAGAAACCUCCCAUUAAUAUUAAAAUGUUUUCUACAACGCACAUACCCUUGAUUAUUACAAAAUAAAGUAAACCUACUAGCCAGAUGUGGCGGCGCGCACCUUCAAUCCCAGCGCCCAGGAGCAGAGGCCGCAGAUCUCUAUUCAUCUGAGGUCAUCUUGCGCUACACAGUGCGUUCCAGCGAGCAUUGAGGCGCAUACGUGUGAUCCCGGUACUAAAGGGGGGGAGGGGUAGGAUCAUGAGUUCACAGAUCUGAAAAGAAGACGUGAACUGAGGAAGCAUGGACCAGGAACUGAACUGCGUGAGGGGAAUUCUGAGUGCUUGUGAGAGAAUGCCUGGAAAACAAGACAAGAGUUGUGACCUCGGUUUCUUCAAAACCUCGAUCUGUUCUUGGAGCGGUUCUCAGUGUCGCCCCUAGGUGUACUAGAUGAGAGUGGGUUUACUUCAGAUUAUUCAUUAAGACUAGCUAUCGUUAUUUGUUUAUAUGCUUCUAUGAAAAUACACGUUUUGGGGGGGAGGGGGGGUUGGGGAUUUAGCUCAGCGGUAGAGCGCUUGCCUAGCAAGCGCAAGGCCCUGGGUUUGGUCCCCAGCUCCGAAAAAAAGAAAAGGAAAAAAAAGAAAGAAAGAAAGAAAGAAAGAGAGAGAGAGAGAGAGAAAAAGAAAGAAAGAAAGAAAGAAAGAAAGAAAGAAAGAAAGAAAGAAAGAAGGAAAGAAAAUACACGUUUUGCCGUGUGCAGCGUGUCCUUUAGAUUGUACGUUUACUCAUGUGGUUCUCCUUAAACCUCAGAGGAUAAACCGUUCGAUGCUCUGAAUAAAGUUGGCUAUUGCAUGAGACUUUAGUCCGCCUCACUUUUAGGCUCCGUUCUCCCAGGUUCAGCCACCUUCAGAGUAGUAAACAGAGCACCUGACGGAGUAGGCAGGAGAAGAUAUGCCCAGACUCAACCAACUGGCAAACAGAUAGAAAGGAUUCAAACCUGCUCACACACUUGGCUCCGGCUCUGUCAACACCGCGAAACCUUUAGAACAGUUUGCCCCGUCAGAGUCCACAAGAGCUGUGCUGACAGCGUGGCCUUAAGGAGAACUGAACUUACGCCAGGCAGACGGAAGCAUUUCCCAAACACCCACGCUGCCGGUCUCAUCAGAAGCCUGAGGCCACCCUCAGCUGCUGCCGCAUGCUCUCCUGAACUGUGGUAACAGGACGGCAGAGGGACCACUGCAAUGUGCUGGCUGGGGGGUUGCAUUGCAACCUGUCCCGAGACCUGCCAGCGCCAGUGAGACCUCUCUCUGACCCUCCUCCCAC
ensembl:lncRNA